GCAUAAGCGCACGGUUCCGCAUGGAACAGUGUGAAAAACUCCGGUGGUAUACGAUGGAUCCGCGUCUGAUUAGCCAGUUGGCGGGGUAACGGCCCACCAAAGCGACGAUCAGUAGCCGGCCUGAGAGGGUGAACGGCCACAUUGGGACUGAGACACGGCCCAAACUCCUACGGGAGGCAGCAGUGGGGAAUAUUGCACAAUGGGGGAAACCCUGAUGCAGCGACGCCGCGUGAGUGAAGAAGUAUUUCGGUACGUAAAGCUCUAUCAGCAGGGAAGAAAAAAAGUCCUUUGGACUUUGGACGGUACCUGACCAAGAAGCCCCGGCUAACUACGUGCCAGCAGCCGCGGUAAUACGUAGGGGGCAAGCGUUAUCCGGAUUUACUGGGUGUAAAGGGAGCGUAGACGGCAGCGCAAGUCUGGAGUGAAAUGCCGGGGCCCAACCCCGGAACUGCUUUGGAAACUGUGCAGCUGGAGUGCAGGAGAGGUAAGCGGAAUUCCUAGUGUAGCGGUGAAAUGCGUAGAUAUUAGGAGGAACACCAGUGGCGAAGGCGGCUUACUGGACUGUAACUGACGUUGAGGCUCGAAAGCGUGGGGAGCAAACAGGAUUAGAUACCCUGGUAG
rnacentral:rRNA from 1 species